rnacentral:lncRNA from 1 species
GCCUUUAUUCGGAGGGAAGGAUCAGCACCCACCCCCAUCCUCCAAUACACAGGCUGGAACCCGGGAAGAAGGCAGCUGGUAGAGGAGCAAGGGAGGCAAAGAGACGCCAAGCCUGGAGAUAAAUAUCUGCAAUUCCAGCUGAAGCAGAAGGAUUAGGAAUUUAGCACCAGCUUGGGCUAUACAGUGAGACCCUGCUCUCAGAAGACUUCCAAUAGUGUUGACUGUUAUUUAUACUUUGGACCUACAUGGCUUGUAGGUUUCUCUAUCAUGGUAUUAGUUCUGGUUCAUCUUUUUGGUCUAUUUAUAUUUUAGAAAGAUCCAUUAUAUGUGGAUGCAUGCUCUGCCUACAUGUAUUUCUGUGCACCACUUGCAUGCCUGGUGCCACAGAGGUAGAAGAGGGCAUUGGAAUCCCCUAGAAUUGGAGUUACAGAUGGUUGUGAGCCACCACGUGGAUGCUGGGAAGUGACUCAUGUCCUUCUGUAAGAUAACCACUGAGUCAUCCCUCCAACCCACCUUUUGCAUUUAUUAUGUAUUGUGUUAUUAUAUAUUACAUUAUGUGUGGCCCAUGUGCAGAGGUCAGAUGAUAUUCCUUCCCCCACCUUCCUGGGGACCGAUGUUAGGGUCAUCAGGCUUGGUAGCGUCUUUACCCACGGAGCCAUCUCUCUGGCCCUUGGGGAAAUGGUCUGUAUAGCAUCUAGCCAGUGUACCCUGAUCCAUAUCAUAAAGAACCAACCUGGUGGCUGGAGGUAUCAUACAGGAAGUUGGCCCAGUUGGGAUCAGUCUGCAUGAAUCUGAACUCAAACAGUUCCCGCAGACACAACCUCAGGAGCUGGAAGCAAAUCUGGAGGAACAAGAAGAGGACAUGCCAGUGAGGGACACGCCGGUGAGGUGUCCUGCCCACCCUCCUGCCUGGGAAAGAAAGUGAGCGCCUGGCUCUUCCGGGUUCCGUUCCACAGGAGAGGUACCUGAUUCCGGAUGUCCUGGCUCAGGCCCUGGCACUGGUCUAGAGGGAUUCCCCCAGCCAGCUCCAUGCCCAGCACCCGUGUAGUGCAUAGCUCCUGCACCACAGCUGGCACUCGGAAGAAGGGGUCGUCAGCCAAGAGCUUCCUGGGACAGGAAAAGGGCAAGGGAUGAGAGACUUCAUGCUUUAGAGCCCAGAGGCUUGGUUUGAGCUGGCCCAUUUGCCUGAGAAGCCCUUCAGGCCAUCUUGUUGUAGGCUUUCCUCCCCUCCCUCCAGUCCCCUUCUCUGGCUUGGCUGCCUUGGGUGACAGCCAAUACCUGGCUGGACUGGCAUUUAACAGACACUGUAGAACUGAGUAGUCUUUUAACUGGGUGUAGCUGGAGACCCAGUUACUACUUCCCCCCUACUAACCCUUCUGACCCUCUUCUGGUUACUCGACGAUGAGCUCAGAGUAUUUAGUUCACACAUCACUUUAAAAAAUAACUAUUUUAUGACCAGUGAGAUGGCUUAGAGGAUAAAGGCACUUGUCCCAAAGCAUAUGACUUUUUGAUCUCAGGGCCCACAUAUUCUUAAAAGUUGUCCUCUGAUUCCCACAUAUGUGCAACAACAUUUGUACACUGGCAUGUACACACACAUACUAAGUAAUAAACAUUAUAAAUUUUUUAUUGAAGAGUUUUUACUCUAUGGCUCUACAGUGAUAAUCACUGGUCACUCCUUGGGGUCACUAGAGAAUCCUAUUUCAACAUUUCAGUUACUUGUGGUAAACCUUGGUCUAAAAAUAUUAAAUGGAGAAUUCUAAGCUGGACAUGGUAGUGUGUGUCUAUAAACCUAGCAUUGGAGAAUCAGAGCCAACUCCUGUGACACAGCAUGUUUCAGGCCAGCCAGGGUACAUAAGAUUCUGUUUCACAAAACAAUCAAGAGAAAAGGGGGCAGGUGGGCUAGAGAGAUGGUUCAGUGGUUAAGAGCACUGGCUACUCUUAUAGAGGACCUGGGUUCCCAAAAUGGUGGCUCACAAUCUGUUAACUCCAGUUCCAGGAAAUCUGAUGCCCUCUUCUGGCCUCUGAGAGUACUGCAUGUACAUGGUGCACACACAUACACACAAGCAAAACAUCCAUAUAAUAAAAAGAAAUCUC